UACGUAGGUGGCAAGCGUUGUCCGGAGUUAUUGGGCGUAAAGCGCGCGCAGGCGGUGCGGUAAGUCUCUGGUGAAAGCGCUCGGCUUAACUGGGCGAGGGCCGGGGAGACUGCCACGCUGGAGGGGAGCAGAGGCGAGUGGAAUUCCGGGUGUAGUGGUGAAAUGCGUAGAGAUCCGGAGGAACACCAGUGGGCGAAGGCGGCUCGCUGGGCUCUACCUGACGCUGAGGCGCGAAAAGCGUGGGGAGCGAACCGG
rnacentral:rRNA from 1 species